rnacentral:rRNA from 1 species
CCUACGGGGGGCUGCAGUAGGGAAUCUUCCACAAUGGGCGAAAGCCUGAUGGAGCAACGCCGCGUGUGUGAUGAAGGCUUUCGGGUCGUAAAGCACUGUUGUAUGGGAAGAACAGCUAGAGUAGGGAAUGACUUUAGUUUGACGGUACCAUACCAGAAAGGGACGGCUAAAUACGUGCCAGCAGCCGCGGUAAUACGUAUGUCCCGAGCGUUAUCCGGAUUUAUUGGGCGUAAAGCGAGCGCAGACGGUUGAUUAAGUCUGAUGUGAAAGCCCGGAGCUCAACUCCGGAAAGGCAUUGGAA